AGAAGGUAAACUGUAAGACGUAUUCACUUGCCAUUUACCUCCAAACCAAUAUUUCCUUACUUUUUGACUAAAUAUGAAAUGUCCUUAUGUAGUUUAUUGUGACUUUUUGGAGGCGUACAAUCAAUACUUAGAUAUACAUGUAGAGCAGUUUACUAGCGAGUGUCGAAAGUAAUCAGGCAGUUACUUUGGUUUUGGUUUUUGCUGACUGGCCGAGUAGUUUCAUAGGCAAGCAAUUGGUUUUGGUUUGGUUCUACAACAUGCUUGACUGAAAACCACUCUAAUGAAGCAUCAACUUGGUUCAACAGCCUCUGCUUGGUCGUCCAGAUCACCCAGGUGGCGGUCUCCUACCCAGACCACCUCCCAUGCAGUUUGGUGGUAGACCGCCCAUGCAGAAUGACAUGGGACCACCCGGUGGAAUACCGAGUCUGUUGGGUCCUCCGCCCCCAAUGCCAUUUAGGAUGAUGCCGCCUGGAGGUCCUUUUCCACCGGGCGGGCCGCAGAGGUUUGGGCCUCCACCUCCUCGCUGACGUGGAAACAUCUUCGCUAAAGGAAUCCUCGAACAUGUCUGUUGCUUGGCAACUUGAAACGAGAAGAAUGCUGUAUCUACGAACGGCGGAAUUGGAACGCGUACCAUUGGAAAACAAAAGCUACCAGCUUUCCAUGUCGGAAAUUACACCCAGUGAUAGCCGUUUGUUCGUCCCUUUUAUGUACAUGUAGCUCGAUGUAAAUAUAUUUCGUUUUUGUUUUUUGUUUUAACCACGCAAAGAAGGAAAAGACCUACAGUAGAAGUUUUUUUUAGCUUCCAGUAUCCUUGAACAUAGUCUCAUACCAAGUUAAGGAUUGCCGUUUUAUCAAUCUCCGUCUUCUUACUGAUCUAACUUCUGACGUGUGUAAUAAUUUAUCUCGUGACAGAAGUAAACAUGAGUUCUUGAA